UACGGAGGGAGCUAGCGUUGUUCGGAAUUACUGGGCGUAAAGCGCACGUAGGCGGUCUUUUAAGUCGGGGGUGAAAUCCUGGAGCUCAACUCCAGAACUGCCUUCGAUACUGGAAGACUUGAGUCCGGGAGAGGUGAGUGGAACUGCGAGUGUAGAGGUGAAAUUCGUAGAUAUUCGCAAGAACACCAGUGGCGAAGGCGGCUCACUGGCCCGGUACUGACGCUGAGGCACGAAAGCGUGGGGAGCAAACAGG
rnacentral:rRNA from 1 species